rnacentral:tRNA from 1 species
GCAGUGGUGGUUCAGUGGUAGGAUUCUCACCUUCUGUGAGGGAGACCUGGGUUCAGUUCCCAGCCCGUGUG